GGCGGAUGCCACGGAUAGACAAAUAUAAUUAUUAUCAAUUCCGUAUCCCCAAAAUAAAACGAACUUCUUCAUUGUCUACCCGAAAAUGGGGCAAGAAAUUGUUCCUUUCUACGGAAUACAAUAAAGAAAAUGAGCAAGAAAUUCAAGAAGUGAGUGAACACAACUACGCAGGCCAGCCAAAGUUGAACGUGGAAGAACUUUAUGUCAAGCACCACCUUUUCUCCAUACAAUGUUCAACAACAGCGAGUUCUACUACAGAUGUUCUUGGUGACUCGACAAAUAGUAAUAACCCAAUGAACAAGAAUGCAGGUCUUGUGGAAUUGCCAUUUGGAGCUGACUAUUGCCUAGUUUUAUGUGGGAUUAUGCCAGAAGUUGUGACAGUCUUGGCUAGGAAGCUUCAGUGCUUCACUUGUCAGAAGGCUCUAAAACCGGCAUUCAAACUGUAUAUACAUUUUGUGACGUCAGGCGGUUACUUUUUGUUCAUUGGUGUUGUUAACGUUGUGAAGUCGGAUGUGGAAUUGCCCCAAGUUUCAUUACCAGUAAGUGUGUUUUAUUACAGUAUGUAUAUAACGCAGAGACUAGGUCCUCUAAAUGUAGUGGAGAGAACAAGCCAUUGGGAAGAAAAAUCAAGAGUUCCAUUAUGCAGAGUGAUGAUUACUCCAACGCCGUCGCCUCCCCCACCGCCACCACCACCGCCAUCGCCCAGAGUCAGUAGGGGACCGGCAGCACUUUUCCGGCGGGUCCGGAGUGUUGCCAGGAGGGCCAUUCCCUACCGGAGGGGUGGCCCGGGGGUGCGAUUUUCUUUGCCUCCCAGGUCUGCGGCGCCAUCGCCUUUUGUGAGCCCUCCUAGGAGAGUUCCGGCCAUUCGGCCUCCAGGACCGGACCACCAGGGAGCCCAUCGUGAUUCCGGACUCACCGGAGAGUCCCGACCCCUCCCCACCUGCCAGUCCGGGGGGUUACUCUCCGGUCCGGUGAGCCCAGGCUACAGUCCGGCACCAUCGCCGCCAGGGAGCCCUCUGCGACCAGCGCCAUACCGCCCUGCACCACCACCACCACCAGCUGCAGCGGCCUUGGGGAGAUCUCCAAGCCGACCGGUCCCACCCAGCCGUCCUGCCCCUCAGCUGCCCUCGGGAUUUGCCCGGACAGCAGUGGCCACCCGGGAUGCUGCAACCCAGCUUCGCACCAUUUUGAGAGCGGCCACCCCUCCCCUGUACCUCCAUACGAGGAAGCCGGAGGAUCCGAGGCGGCACUUCACCAUCGUCCCCAGCUGGGUGGUGAAGGUGGCCGAGGAGGAGGAGAGCCGGGGGGAGUGUGUCAUCUGCUUCCGAGAAGACGCCCACAUGCAGAUCAAGUGCCGCAGCUGCAGCCAGCAGAGGGUAUGCUGCAAACAAGCAGAAGGUAAUUUCCAAACAAAGGACAAAGAGACGACAAUCAAAAUCAAUGUCGGUCUUGGCAUGGCUCAGCACCUACGCAGAAAUGACUUUUUGCGCCUGUGGAGAAAAGAGGCCUCACAUAUUGCUAUACCCAAGCCAUUCAACGAACAUGACGUUAUCCAUCCUUCUGAGUGUUUUUAUGGUAUUAAGGACUCCAUGCCCGACAUGCUAUACCUGCAGAUGGACAACUGUGCCAGGGAAACAAAAAUAAGUGAAUCUAUUCGUGCCGGCUUUUCUAAAUUACAAACGAAUGACCAACAGACAUCGGACGACGACGACGAUGACUUCACAGAUAACACGCCACUUGCAGAACUGAGUGAACUUCUGAAAAAAAGCGGUUCCGAAUUACCAAUCGUAGAAUACAUAAACAUAGACGAAGGAAUUAUUUCAAGGGAGGAAAUUACAGACGAAGUAAUUGUCGAGAUGUAUCGCGAACAAGACAACAUUCACGAGAGUGACGAUGAAGGUGCAGCGAUCCCCGGGGAAGAGGACGUCACAGAUAAAGAAGCCCAGUGUUACAUGAAUAAAAUUAAAACUUAUGUGCAGAAAAAACCUAAUGUGGCAAAGUAUGUGUGUAAUAUCUGUGAAAAGUUCAGGUCAGAAAGCCUGUAUGCAGCAAACAGACAUGUGCAAGAGCAGCACAUUGGAUUUAAGUUUAAGUGCCAGUACUGUUGUACAACUUUAGCGAGAAACGAUCAGAAACACGGAAAAUGUCGCAGAUGA
rnacentral:sRNA from 1 species